GAUCAUGGCUCAGGACGAACGCUGGCGGCGUGCCUAACACAUGCAAGUCGAACGGAACUUUUUUUAAAAGAUUUCUUCGGAAUGAAUUUGAUUAAGUUUAGUGGCGGACGGGUGAGUAACGCGUGAGUAACCUGCCUCUGAGAGGGGAAUAACAUUCUGAAAAGAAUGCUAAUACCGCAUAACAUAUAUUUAUCGCAUGGUAGAUAUAUCAAAGAUUUAUCGCUUAGAAAUGGACUCGCGUCCGAUUAG
rnacentral:rRNA from 1 species